rnacentral:rRNA from 1 species
UACGUAGGCAGCAAGCGUUGCUCGGAAUCACUGGGCGUAAAGGGUGCGUAGGCGGGUCUUUAAGUCAGUGGUGAAAUCCUGGAGCUCAACUCCAGAACUGCCUUUGAUACUGAAGAUCUUGAGUUCGGGAGAGGUGAGUGGAACUGCGAGUGUAGAGGUGAAAUUCGUAGAUAUUGGGAAGAGCACCGGUGGCGAAGGCGGCUCACUGGCUCAUUACUGACGCUCAGGCGCGAUAGCGUGGGGAUCAAACAGG